rnacentral:rRNA from 1 species
CCUACGGGCGGCUGCAGUGGGGAAUAUUGCACAAUGGGCGCGAGCCUGAUGCAGCCAUGCCGCGUGUGUGAAGAAGGCCUUCGGGUUGUAAAGCACUUUCAGCGGGGAGGAAGGCGUUAAGGUUAAUAACCUUGUCGAUUGACGUUACCCGCAGAAGAAGCACCGGCUAACUCCGUGCCAGCAGCCGCGGUAAUACGGAGGGUGCAAGCGUUAAUCGGAAUUACUGGGCGUAAAGCGCACGCAGGCGGUCUGUCAAGUCGGAUGUGAAAUCCCCGGGCUCAACCUGGGAACUGCAUUCGAAACUGGCAGGCUAGAGUCUUGUAGAGGGGGGUAGAAUUCCAGGUGUAGCGGUGAAAUGCGUAGAGAUCUGGAGGAAUACCGGUGGCGAAGGCGGCCCCCUGGACAAAGACUGACGCUCAGGUGCGAAAGCGUGGGGAGCAAACAGGAUUAGAUACCCUUGUAGUC